AAUUGGAAGCGGUUCAUUUGGGGAAGAAAAAAAAAUCUUCAGCAAAUCUUUCGACCUUUCCGAUCAUUCUCCUCUUGUUUUGAAUAACACACAAUUUCCGUCUGUCUAGUAUUCUCGCAAGAUGUUGAGCUAGCUUUGAGCGUUCUGCCUUCUCUGCUAGCUUUGGACUUUAAGUCCACUAAUCUUAAUACCAUUCUUCAAUAUACGUGUCUGCUAUUAAUAUAAAAUUUAAUUUUGGGACAAUUUAGUGUCCUUUUCCUGUUUAGUUUAAAAUUACCUGGUAGGUUGAAAGCUCUUGUUAUUAGUAUCAUUGAAGUAAUGCUCUUAUAAAAAAGGAUGUUGGAUAUGUUUUAGAUUUAAGCACAAAUGACGAUUCUUGGCUUAUCUUUGAUUGAGUUUUUUUCUAAGGUUGUUUCCUGGCUAUUUUAAUAAUUCUCUCUGCUUUUCAACAGCUUCUACAUUCUGCAACAAACUUUGUUUCAAAGGACAAUAUGUUUAAUGUGAAUUGUAUUCAUUCUUCUGAAGUUAAAUAAUUUUGAUGCUUUAGACUUCCUUGUUUCCAAAUGACUUCUCCAUUUAGUAACAAUUAAAGCGAGUGUUUCAAAAUGUAUUUUUGUGAGGCUAUACCAAUGGUACUGAUUGAUUUGGUAUUGAGGUACUGCUAAUGUUUUCAUACCCAUUUGAGAAAUGUGUUACCUUCACAUUCAAAUUAAUAUGGACUCUCCGUCGUGAAACCAAAUAAAGAAACAAUUUUUGUUGUUGAUACUAUCUCCUCCCCUCUCUCUCUCUGACUGCCUUCAAAUGCUUGAAGAAACGUUGAUGUUUACAUUGGUACUUUAAAAAAUACAAUAAUUGCAUUUUUGCAUUGUCUUUUUUUUCUCUAACUUAGUUCUAUCUUUUCCUUUUAACCUUAACCCCACUUUCUUGACUAACUUGUACCAGUUUGUUUCCUUCUCGCGUCUUGAACUGAAUGGAUCAUUUUGAUAAUUCUACAUGUCAUUUUGAAUUUAUAUUGUCAUCAUAUAUCUGAAAUAUUCAAUUUGUAGUCCUUAAGAAAAAGAAUGCUUACACAUUAGUGCUUAGGUAUGUUGCCACUCUCAAAGAAAUAUCAUCAAUGUGUGCCAUACAAUGCAAGAGUUAUCAAUACUCAUGUACCUAAAAGUAUGCAAGGUAGAUAUAGAUGAGUAGUAAGUUGUACUUGUACCAAAAACAAAUUCAGAUUAUAUGCUCUCAUCAUCAUUGUUUCAUCACCAGCAUUGCCUUUACUAUAGCAAGUAUUCCUUUCAAUGGUUAUUUUCUCCAGUACUUUAUCCUCUUUACUUUCUUAUUUCUGUAUCAGAUGUAUUGAUUCUUUGUUCUAUGGCAAAUUUUGUUACAUGCACAGAUUUUUUUAAGCAUGAUGUACAGUCAAACCUAUCUUAUACUUUGGUCAAACUGGCGAGACCAACACCAGACUAUCAAGUGACUGAACCAAAAAUAAAAAUAUAAAUGGAGUCGCUGUGGCAGUCUUUGCUGAAUAAUUAAGUGGCCAUUUGUCAGUAGUGGGAAUACCUACAUCGCAUCCCAUCAGAAAUAAAUUUAUGAUAAUUGUAGAACCUGUCAGGAAUGACCACUUAUCUACAGUGGCCAAUUGUUCAGUUUUCUGCAGGUCGCCUCAAUUGACAGGUUUGACCGUAUUUCAAAAUGUAUUUCAUACUUAGCAUUCAUCUGUUUCAUAUUGUCUGUUUUUGGAGCCAAAAAGGCAUGAACUACAUUACAGACUUUAAUGUUGUCCUUGUCCAAACAUAAUAGAUAUCCAGGUAUUUCUGGGCUCAUAUUCAUACAACAUUACUGAGCCUAGCUGUCAACCAACUAUGUGAUUAGUUACCAGCUAGCUUAGUAUUAAAGGUUUUAUGAGUAUGGGCCACCAGUGUCUAUAACUUAGCGGCUCUCUUUGUGCCCCUUUUCUCUCUUUUCCUUGUAAUGUCAGUUGGCUUUGCACAGAUGAAAUUGUGUGUUUCAUAACAGAUAAGGAGACACUUUCUCAAAGAAACAAUAACAAAAUAAGAUCUUGUUUGUUGAGAGCCAGAAGGGUGUUUAUUCUGUAUUAAAUGAGAUGAGUUAAUGCCCUUUUUGCUCUCAUCAGAUGAACCAUGCUAGAACUUUUCCAUUUUCAUGGGAACAGCAUCAUCAGCAUCAUAAGCAUCAUCAGUGUCAUUUCAUUUCCAUCAGUCAGUGCCACAUAUACCAUUUCCAUGAUUCUUAAUCUUGUCCCUGCACUUGCCAAGCAUAAAAUGUCAAAUGCCAGAGGUAAAGGUUGAAUAAGGAUUAGGUUGUAAGGUCAGAGGCAACAGUUGAGGAAGGAUUAGUUGUAAGGUCAGAGGUAAGGGUUGAAUCAUGAUUGAAAUCAGAGUCCUUGUGCAUUUAUCAUUAUAAUAUAAUUUUUUUUCUUCUUCAUAUUAUGAA